rnacentral:rRNA from 1 species
UUAUCCGGAUUUAUUGGGUUUAAAGGGAGCGUAGGUGGAUUGUUAAGUCAGUUGUGAAAGUUUGCGGCUCAACCGUAAAAUUGCAGUUGAAACUGGCAGUCUUGAGUACAGUAGAGGUGGGCGGAAUUCGUGGUGUAGCGGUGAAAUGCUUAGAUAUCACGAAGAACUCCGAUUGCGAAGGCAGCUCACUAGACUGUUACUGACACUGAUGCUCGAAAGUGUGGGUAUCAAACAGGAUUAGAUACCCUGGUAGUCCACACAGUAAACGAUGAAUACUCGCUGUUUGCGAUAUACAGUAAGCGGCCAAGCGGAAGCAUUAAGUAUUCCACCUGGGGAGUACGCCGGCAACGGUGAAACUCAAAGGAAUUGACGGGGGCCCGCACAAGCGGAGGAACAUGUGGUUUAAUUC